rnacentral:lncRNA from 1 species
AAUUUAAAUUUUAGUAUAAAGAGCUUCAUAAUACUUUUACCACAGAGAUAUUUUAAAAAAUAAAAUAAGUAUUAAUAUUAUUUUAUAAAAAUUUAAGUCUUUCAUUUGUAAAGGUUGAGUUCUUGGAGUUUUAAAUAUUCGACUCCCACAUAUGUGUAAUUGCAUAGGUAUGGGACUAUGGUUCUAAAUUGUUUUCCGUUUAUCUAUUUAUAUGUUGUAAUGAUAUUAUUUUAUUUUAAAAAUUAAGAGAAAAAAGUGAUAAAAUAAUUAGAACUAAAGUCACAAAAGAGAAAAUCGUAUGGGUCUAAUUUGUUUUUAUGG